rnacentral:lncRNA from 1 species
UAAGAAAUAGGUUUUCAACUCUAUGUCCCACUUUUUCUUCAUUAUUUUGAAAACCACCCAAAUAUAGAACAAUCUGAAUGUCCAAUUAUUUUGACUAAGUUGGAAUAGGUAAAGGUAAAGGUAAUAUUUAUUUACCUUUGCUUUGUGAAACAGUAAACAUAAGCUCCGUAGAGCUUUUUAGCGACCCUUUUUCAAGAACAGUUAAAUACACAGAGCUAACUUAAUUCUGUUUUACUGUUACAGUAAAUAAUAAUUAAAGACACUGAUUCUUGUGUGCCUGGUAUGUGGCCUAUGGGGAUGAUAAGGUCUGGUAUUGGAGAUUGGUACUUGAAAGUCAAUGGUUGAUCAUGAUGACCAUCUUUAAUUUAAUGGGGAAAGAUUAACCAAUAUUUGCAGCUGGAGAGGCUAUCACCACAGUUCAAUGAUUUAGUUAAGACAAUGAAAAAGAAGAACUUCAUGCUAACACUUGCAUCAGUGGAAGUACUUCUUAUUGGAUAGAGAACUUUACAAGGUCAGUGAUAUUUGUAAUGUUUUAUAUCAAUAUUUUGUUUUGCCUUUUUAAACUCAUCUUAAUGGAGCUGUGAACUGCAUAGGUGGAUUAUCCAUCAUACACAAUGUUUAGCUCGACUACUCAACCUGGCGUAAGCAUUGGUUCAAGUUUAUUUCUUAAGUUAAAUAUAUUUUAGCUUUCAAAAGAUACUGUAUGCACAUGUUUGACAAGGGACACUGUCAGCAAUAUUUUCAGAGUGAUGCCCCAUUUUUAUUUAGAAAUUUGAUUAACAAUUUAUCCAUAAUGAUAAUUAUCUCUACAAUGCAUUGCAG